GACUGUCUUUUUCUUUUCUUUUUUUCUUUUUUUGCGGUGCUGCUUUGCUGCCGUUGCAGAUGCGUUUUGAUUGAUUCUGCAUCUGCAGGUUUUGAGUUUUGGGUAUCACAGUAUCACCGUAUCAGCAAGCAUGGUAAGAAGGUGUACUUGACUGCUACUCCUCAGUGUACUUUCCCUGAUCAUUUGGUUGGAAAUGCCCUUGAGAUUGGAAAGAUUAUGCUUGGGCUCAAUUUUACAACCCACCAUGCCAGUACAGUCCAGGCAAUUUGCCUAACCUUGAAGAUGCUUGGAAGCAGUGGACUUUCAGAUAUUCCUGCAACUAGGAUCUUUUAAGGGCUGACUGCUGCAUCUCAAGCUGCUGUAAGUGGCUUUAAUUCCAGCAGGAGCAGCCGACCUCACAUCAGAAGUUCUUCCUGCCAUUAAGAACUCGGCUAAAUAUGGAGGAGUGAUGCUUUGGUCAAAGUAUUAUGAUGAUCUAACUGGCUUUAGCUCUUACAACAAGAAUGAUGUCUAAAUUACUUCCUAAUGAAUUCCUGUACUUCCUUUGCUGAUUUGGUCAUUGAACUGAUGCUUGAGUGCUUUGGUAUUUUAAUUUGAUGUAGUGCAUAUAUAGUGUAUAGAAUCUCUUUUAAACUAUUGCUU